CCUACGGGUGGCUGCAGUGAGGAAUAUUGGUCAAUGGACGAGAGUCUGAACCAGCCACGUAGCGUGAAGGAUGACUGCCCUAUGGGUUUUAAACUUCUUUUAUAUGGGACUAAGAUGUUCCACGUGUGUGAUUUUGUAUGUACCAUAUGAGUAAAGAUAGUCUAACUCCGUGCCAGCAGCCGCGUUAAUACGGCGGGUCCGCACUUUAUCCGGAUUGAUUGGGUUUAAUGGGAGCGUAGGUGGAUUGUUAAGUCAGUUGUGAAAGUUUGCGGCUCAACCGUAAAAUUGCAGUUGAAACUGGCAGUCUUGAGUAUAGUAGAGGUGGGCGGAAUUCGUGGUGUAGCGGUGAAAUGCUUAGAUAUCACGAAGAACUCCGAUUGCGAAGGCAGCUCACUGGACUGCAACUGACACUGAGGCUCGAAAGUGUGGGUAUCAAACAGGAUUAGAUACCCCAGUAGUC
rnacentral:rRNA from 1 species